CCUACGGGUGUCAGCAGUGGGGAAUAUUGCACAAUGGGGGAAACCCUGAUGCAGCGACGCCGCGUGAGUGAAGAAGUAUUUCGGUACGUAAAGCUCUAUCAGCAGGGAAGAAAAACAGUCCUUUGGACUUUGGACGGUACCUGACCAAGAAGCCCCGGCUAACUACGUGCCAGCAGCCGCGGUAAUACGUAGGGGGCAAGCGUUAUCCGGAUUGACUGGGCGUAAAGGGAGCGUAGGCGGCCUGCCAAGUCUGAUGUGAAAUACCGGGGCUCAACCCCGGGGCUGCAUUGGAAACUGGGAGGCUGGAGUGGCGGAGAGGCAGGCGGAAUGCCUAGUGUAGCGGUGAAAUGCGGAGAUAUUAGGAGGAACACCAGUGGCGAAGGCGGCCUGCUGGACGGUGACUGACGCUGAGGCUCGAAAGCGUGGGGAGCAAACAGGAUUAGAUACCCUAGGUAGUC
rnacentral:rRNA from 1 species